AGAGUUUGAUCAUGGCUCAGAAUCAACGCUGGCGGCGCGCCUAACACAUGCAAGUCGAACGAGAAAGUGGAGCAAUCCAUGAGUACAGUGGCGUACGGGUGAGUAACACGUGGGUAAUCUACCUCUUAGUGGGGAAUAACUCUGGGAAACCGGAGCUAAUACCGCAUAAGCUCGAGAGAGGAAAGCAGCAAUGCGCUGAGAGAGGAGCCCGCGGCCGAUUAGCUAGUUGGCAGGGUAAGAGCCUACCAAGGCAGAGAUCGGUAGCCGGCCUGAGAGGGCACACGGCCACACUGGCACUGAAACACGGGCCAGACUCCUACGGGAGGCAGCAGUGGGGAAUCUUGCACAAUGGGGGAAACCCUGAUGCAGCGACGCCGCGUGAGCGAUGAAGCCCUUCGGGGUGUAAAGCUCUUUCGGCAAGGAAGAUGGUGACGGUACCUGCAGAAGCAGCUGCGGCUAACUACGUGCCAGCAGCCGCGGUAAUACGUAGGCAGCGAGCGUUGUUCGGAGUUACUGGGCGUAAAGGGUGUGUAGGCGGUUGUUUAAGUUUGGUGUGAAAUCUCCCGGCUCAACUGGGAGGGUGCGCCGAAUACUGAGCGACUAGAGUGCGGGAGAGGAAAGUUGAAUUCCUGGUGUAGCGGUGAAAUGCGUAGAUAUCAGGAGGAACACCGGUGGUGUAGACGGCUUUCUGGACCGUAACUGACGCUGAGACACGAAAGCGUGGGUAGCAAACAGGAUUAGAUACCCUAGUAGUCC
rnacentral:rRNA from 1 species